rnacentral:rRNA from 1 species
CCUACGGGUGGCUGCAGUGGGGAAUAUUGGACAAUGGGGGGAACCCUGAUCCAGCCAUGCCGCGGGUGUGAAGAAGGCCCUCGGGUUGUAAAGCACUUUCAGUGAGGAAGAACGCCUGGUGGUUAAUACCCAACAGGAAAGACAUCACUCACAGAAGAAGCACCGGCUAACUCCGUGCCAGCAGCCGCGGUAAUACGGAGGGUGCGAGCGUUAAUCGGAAUUACUGGGCGUAAAGCGCGCGUAGGUGGCUUGAUAAGCCGGUUGUGAAAGCCCCGGGCUCAACCUGGGAACGGCAUCCGGAACUGUCAAGCUAGAGUGCAGGAGAGGAAGGUAGAAUUCCCGGUGUAGCGGUGAAAUGCGUAGAGAUCGGGAGGAAUACCAGUGGCGAAGGCGGCCUUCUGGACUGACACUGACACUGAGGUGCGAAAGCGUGGGUAGCAAACAGGAUUAGAUACCCUAGUAGUC